rnacentral:tRNA from 1 species
UGGAUCCGUGGUGGAAUGGUUAACACGCCGCUCUCACACAGCGGAGACUGAGCGUUCGAUUCGCUCCGGAUCCAUC